GAAAUGCGAUAAGUAAUGCGAAUUGCAGAAUUCAGUGAGUCAUCGAAUCUUUGAACGCACAUUGCGCCCUGUGGUAUUACGCAGGGCAUGCCUGUUCGAGCGUCAUUUCAACCCUCAAGCCCGGCUUGGUGUUGGGCCCUGCCCGUGGUGGCUGGCCCUAAAGACAGUGGCGGUGCCGCCUGGCCCUCAGCGUAGUACAACUCUCGCUCCAGGGUCCGGUGGUGGCCUGUCAGAACCCCCAACUCUGUGGUUGACCUCGGAUCAGGUAGGGAUACCCGCUGAACUUAA
rnacentral:misc_RNA from 1 species